UACGUAGGGGGCUAGCGUUGUCCGGAUUUAUUGGGCGUAAAGAGCGUGUAGGCGGCCAGGUAGGUCUGCUGUGAAAACUCGAGGCUCAACCUCGAGACGUCGGCGGAAACCAUCUGGCUAGAGUCCGGAAGAGGAGAGUGGAAUUCCUGGUGUAGCGGUGAAAUGCGCAGAUAUCAGGAAGAACACCCGUGGCGAAGGCGGCUCUCUGGGACGGUACCGACGCUGAGGUGCGAAAGCGUGGGGAGCAAACAGG
rnacentral:rRNA from 1 species